rnacentral:rRNA from 1 species
UACAGAGGGUGCUAGCGUUAAUCGGAAUUACUGGGCGUAAAGCGUGUGUAGGUGGUUAGAUAAGUUAGAUGUGAAAACCCUGGGCUUAACCUGGGAACUGCGUUUAAGACUGUUUAGCUAGAGUACUGUAGAGGGCAGUGGAAUUUCCAGUGUAGCGGUGAAAUGCGUAGAGAUUGGAAGGAACACCAGUGGCGAAGGCGACUGCCUGGAUAGAUACUGACAAUGAGACACGAAAGAGUGGGGAGCAAACAGG